UACUGCAUUUUUUCUUACACAUGUGUUUUUCUUUUUUUGAAAACUUUGCUUUGGUAGGGUUCAAGGUGGGGCCUGCCAGAGAUUAAACUCAACCAAAUUUUAUUUAAUGUCAACCGAUUAUUUAAUAGUCAAAACUUUCAACAACGGAUCUCUUGGUUCUCGCAUCGAUGAAGAACGCAGCGAAAUGCGAUAAGUAAUAUGAAUUGCAGAUAUUCGUGAAUCAUCGAAUCUUUGAACGCACAUUGCGCCCUUUGGUAUUCCAAAGGGCAUGCCUGUUUGAGCGUCAUUUCUCCCUCAAACCCUCGGGUUUGGUGUUGAGCGAUACGCUGGGUUUGCUUGAAAGAAAGGCGGAGUAUAAACUAAUGGAUAGGUUUUUUCCACUCAUUGGUACAAACUCCAAAACUUCUUCCAAAUUCGACCUCAAAUCAGGUAGGACUACCCGCUGAACUUAAGCAUAUCAAUAAGCGGAGG
rnacentral:rRNA from 1 species